GAGACAGUGAGCCAAAGUAAAUCUGCUCAUUUGUUUUGGCUCAGAGUGUUCUACAUGUACGGUAAAUGCACGCACACUUUGGACCCACGUCGGGGUCCCGGGGCCGUUAUAAACCCGUCCUGCUUCCCUGUCCUCACUGUGCAGUCCCCGACUGAUCCCAGAGAGAGCAGAGGGUGCGUUUGAUUUUUGUCUCAGAGCAGGAUGAGUGUUGUGAAGAGAGCCGUGCUGCUGAUGCUGCUGCUAGCGGCGAUCGGCAGCUUCGCCACGGCGGGCCCCGAAGACUGCCACGGUCUGAACGUAACGCUGCAAACAAAAGACAUACACAAGAGACCAGUCAUGUGUCACCUACUUCAUCAACAUGACGAUGCCCACUGACCCGCUGGACAGCACCAUGACCACCUCUCCUGGUGGUGAGUCACAUUAAUAAUAUAUACACACACACACACACACACACACACACACACCAUUUUUGACUCUCUGACAAGACAAAUGUUCCUGAUGCUAAAUAUAUCUUUAGCUGUGUAAAUAACGUUAGCACAAGAAAAUAGUAAUAAGUUAAGCAAAUAUAACAUUUCAUCCAUCCACAUCACGUUCACUACACUUUCAAAUGAGGCCACGCCCCUUUAGGAGACAGAAUGUAAUUCAUACCACAGAGCUCAAAAGUCCCGCGCGGCCACAGCGGGUUCUGGAAGUAACAUUACAUUACAAUUUCUCCAUUGACAAAUUGGAGUAUAAGCCAUAAAAUGGUAACCGUGAUGGUAGACUUAAAACCAGCUACGACAUGACUCAGCGAUUGUAUAUGCUCAUAUAGACGCCAAAAGUUCAUGGGGCACUACCCUUGUUUAGAGAUAAAUGUCGUUUAUUCGCUAUACGCUUCUGCCGUUAGCCUCUGCCGGGAAGCUAACGUUAGUUCCGCUAACAGCUAAUUCGGCUAACCGCUAGGUGACAGCUUGAUUCAGUCUAAAAUAACGUUAACUCAAACUUAACACUGGGUAAAGCCGUCUACAGCUGACGUAACAGCCGUUAUAUGUUAACUGUUAUUUUCAGAGUUUUUUUUUAAAGUUAUUACACGCUGUCUCAGCUAGCGGUUAGCCGAAUUAGCUGUUAGCUAAACUCACGUUAGCUGCCUUUGUUCAGUGGUGCGCGGUGGUUUAUGGGAUGAGUAGUUCCUUCACUCUGAGAUGACGAUAUGUACACAGCCUUGUACCUUUGACUUUUUGGGGAUUUUCUGUUCAUUUUUUUACUCAAGGUGAUACUUGUAUGCUUAUGAGUCACGUCGUAGCUGGUUAGCCUAAGGCACGGUCUAAAACUCUUUAUAUACAGAUUUUUCCCUCCUCUGAGAGACCUUGGGUUCCUGAAUUAAAUUUCCCGUUCAUUUCUCCCGUUGACGUUUGGAAAAAUCCGUAACAAUCGGGCCAACAAUCCGUGACAAUUGGAGUAUUUAUGGCUUAUACUCCAAUUUGUCAAUGGAGAAGUUGUAAUGUAUUUUUACUUCCAGAACCCGCUGUGGGCGGGACUGUUGUGCUCUAUUGGUGCAGCGUGUAGUGUGUGUGUGUGUGUGUGUGUGUGUGUGUGUGUGUGU
ensembl:lncRNA